rnacentral:rRNA from 1 species
UAACACAUGCAAGUCGAACGAGAANGGGAUUUCGGUCCUGAGUAUAGUGGCGUACGGGUGAGUAACACGUGAAUCAUCUACCCUCGAGUGGGGAAUAACUGGGAGAAAUCUCAGCUAAUACCGCAUAACACUUACGAGUCAAAGCAGCAAUGCGCUUGGGGAGGAGUUCGCGGCCGAUUAGUUAGUUGGCGGGGUAAUGGCCCACCAAGACGAUGAUCGGUAUCCGGCCUGAGAGGGCGCACGGACACACUGGAACUGAAACACGGUCCAGACUCCUACGGGAGGCAGCAGUGGGGAAUUUUGCGCAAUGGGGGAAACCCUGACGCAGCAACGCCGCGUGGAGGAUGAAGUAUCUUGGUACGUAAACUCCUUUCGAUGGGGAGGAUAAUGACGGUACCCAUAGAAGAAGCCCCGGCUAACUUCGUGCCAGCAGCCGCGGUAAUACGAGGGGGGCAAGCGUUGUUCGGAAUUAUUGGGCGUAAAGGGUGCGUAGGCGGUUCAGCAAAGUCUCGUGUGAAAUCUUCGGGCUCAACCCGAAGUCUGCACGGGAAACUACUGGGCUUGAGUAUGGGAGAGGUGAGUGGAAUUUCCGGUGUAGCGGUGAAAUGCGUAGAUAUCGGAAGGAACACCUGUGGCGAAAGCGGCUCACUGGACCAUAACUGACGCUGAUGCACGAAAGCUAGGGGAGCAAACAGGAUUAGAUACUCCUGGGUAGUCCUAGCCCUAAACGAUGAUUGCUUGGUGUGGCGGGUACCCAAUCCCGCUGUGCCGAAGCUAACGCGAUAAGCAAUCCCUCCUGGGGAGUACGGUCGCAAGGCUGAAACUCAAAG